CCUACGGGUGGCAGCAGUGGGGCAUAUUGCACAAUGGGCGCAAGCCUGCUGCAGCGACGCCGCGUGAGGGAUGGAGGCCUUCGGGUUGUGAACCUCUUUCGCCAGUGAAGCAGGCCUGUCACUUUAGUGGGUGGGUUGACGGUAGCUGGAUAAGAAGCGCCGGCUAACUACGUGCCAGCAGCCGCGGUAAUACGUAGGGCGCGAGCGUUGUCCGGAAUUAUUGGGCGUAAAGAGCUCGUAGGCGGCUGGUCGCGUCUGUCGUGAAAUCCUCUGGCUUAACUGGGGGCUUGCGGGGGGUACGGGCCGGCUUGAGUGCGGUAGGGGAGACUGGAACGCCUGGUGUAGCGGUGGAAUGCGCAGAUAUCAGGAAGAACACCGGUGGCGAAGGCGGGUCUCUGGGCCGUUACUGACGCUGAGGAGCGAAAGCGUGGGGAGCGAACAGGAUUAGAUACCCGUGUAGUC
rnacentral:rRNA from 1 species